rnacentral:rRNA from 1 species
UACGUAGGGGGCAAGCGUUGUCCGGAAUCAUUGGGCGUAAAGAGCGUGUAGGCGGCCUGAUAAGUCGGCUGUGAAAGUCAAGGGCUCAACCCUUGAAUGCCGGCCGAUACUGUCAGGCUAGAGUCCGGAAGAGGCGAGUGGAAUUCCUGGUGUAGCGGUGAAAUGCGUAGAGAUCAGGAAGAACACCGGUGGCGAAAGCGCUCUGCUAGGCCGCAACUGACACUGAGGGACGAAAGCUAGGGGAGCGAAUGGG